rnacentral:rRNA from 2 species
UACGUAGGGGGCAAGCGUUAUCCGGAUUUACUGGGUGUAAAGGGAGCGUAGACGGCAUCACAAGUCAGAAGUGAAAAUCCGGGGCUCAACCCCGGAACUGCUUUUGAAACUGUGGAGCUGGAGUGCAGGAGAGGUAAGCGGAAUUCCUAGUGUAGCGGUGAAAUGCGUAGAUAUUAGGAGGAACACCAGUGGCGAAGGCGGCUUACUGGACUGUAACUGACGUUGAGGCUCGAAAGCGUGGGGAGCAAACAGG